AUUGAACGCUGGCGGCAUGCUUUACACAUGCAAGUCGGACGGCAGCACAGAGAAGCUUGCUUCUUGGGUGGCGAGUGGCGAACGGGUGAGUAAUAUAUCGGAACGUACCGAGUAAUGGGGAUAACUAAUCGAAAGAUUAGCUAAUACCGCAUAUUCUCUGAGGAGGAAAGCAGGGGACCUUCGGGCCUUGCGUUAUUCGAGCGGCCGAUAUCUGAUUAGCUAGUUGGUGGGGUAAAGGCCUACCAAGGCGACGAUCAGUAGCGGGUCUGAGAGGAUGAUCCGCCACACUGGGACUGAGACACGGCCCAGACUCCUACGGGAGGCAGCAGUGGGGAAUUUUGGACAAUGGGCGCAAGCCUGAUCCAGCCAUGCCGCGUGUCUGAAGAAGGCCUUCGGGUUGUAAAGGACUUUUGUCAGGGAAGAAAAGGCUGUUGCUAAUACCGACAGCUGAUGACGGUACCUGAAGAAUAAGCACCGGCUAACUACGUG
rnacentral:rRNA from 1 species